CAUAAGGGAGCAGAAGAAAAGUAGAAAGGUAUAAAUUAAUUGCAGUUUCAACCUCCAUAUAGCUAAGUCCUUUUAAAAUCCAGAAAUCUGUAUCUCUUAUAUUUCCACAAUAACUAGCUUUCAGCAAGAAGAGCAAUCAGAAGUUCUCGGAUCACAAUAUAUCUUCUUAACUCUCCCACUCUCAAUUAAUCAGUCAGAUUUUUUAUUACGCUAACAUACAAAGAUGUACAGUGAAGAAAUUGUCUUAUGUCUAACAGAAAUGCAAAGGAAAAACCAAUUAGCAAUAUGCAUCCUUGUAACUGUUUUCACAUAGACCUAGUACUUUAUAUAGCUCUUUAUGAUGUCUACAGAAAAGUUAUUCUAGACACCCUUUCAUAUGUAAAUCAAAAUUUGGUUAUAGGCAGCUCUUGACAAACCAUGUUGUUUAUGCCGAUUGCAGUACUAUUUUAUUUCAAUGCACUCAGCAGCAAUCAAUGGUAUAUUCAGAUUAAUGAUCGCACUACUUGCUCAGUUUAGUUCAUCAACUUUACUGAUUGAAGUUCAACUAAACAACCUAAAAAGUUCGCCAUGAUACUCGUUUUCAAAGUGCACAAAGCUUGAGCUUAUGAGUGAAAUCACGAAAAUCCAAGUUGAAUUGGCAAGAACGCAAAAUAAGGGCAUAAAAGAAGGAAGUGCAUUGUAGCCCCCCAAACAACAAGCUAUCACCACAACAAAGGUGCCUUAUUCUUUUGCAAGUUCCUUAAACAAUCGCAAGUGUCCAUAUUUCUGACUACAAAAGAAAACUAUCAUCUCUCUCUCCCUAAGUGUGUUCGUUCCCACUUCCUCUUGCACGAAGUCACCACCUAACAAACAUCAUCACUUGUUUCACAUUACUGUAUAAUUAUAAGCCAAACACUAUAAAACAGUAGAGUGGUUUUUAUUUGUAUUAACUAAGCAAUGCAUGCAUCGCAGCCAUUAUGAAACUGGUAAAAAAAUCUUUUAGGCUAUUAGCAUCUAUAUAAUCCAAAAGAGAAGACAUAAAACACCUGAUUUUACUCAUUCGCAACCAUAUAAUCCAAAAGAGUUAAAGAUAUAAAACACCUGAUUUUACUCUGAAACUCUAGGAUAAUAUAUACAAAUUCACUUCAAUUCAAAUUCACUUCAAAGGAAAAACCAAUUAGCAAUAUGCAUCCUUGUAACUGUUUUCUCAUAGACCUAGUACUUUAUAUAACUCUUUAUGAUGUCUACAGAAAAGUUAUUCUAGACACACCCUUUCAUAUGUAAAUCAAAAUUUGGUUAUAGGCAGCUCUUGACAAGCCAUGUUGUUUAUGCCGAUUGCAGUACUAUUUUAUUUCAAUGCACUCGGCAGCAAUGGAUGGUAUAUUCAGAUUAAUGAUCGCACCACUUGCUCAGUUUAGUUCUUCAACUUAACUGAUUGAAGAUCAACUAAACAACCUAAAAAGUUCGCCAUGAUACUCGUUUUCAAAGUGCACAAAGCUUGAGCUUAUGAGUGAAAUCACAAAAAUCCAAGUUGAAUUGGCAAGAACGCAAAAUAAGGGCAUAAAAGAAGGAAGUGCAUUGUAGCCCCCCAAACAACAAGCUAUCACCACAACAAAGGUGCCUUAUUCUUUUGCAAGUUCCUUAAACAAUCGCAAGUGUCCAUAUUUCUGACUACAAAGAAAACUAUCAUCUCUCUCUCCCUAAGUAUGUUCGUUCCCACUUCCUCUUGCACGAAGUCACCACCUAACAAACACCAUCACUUGUUUCACAUAACUGUAUAAUUAUAAGCCAAACACUAUAAAACAGUAGAGUAGUUUUUAUUUGUAUUAACAAAGCAAUGCAUGCAUCGCAGCCAUUAUGAAACUGGUAAAAAAAUCUUCUAGGCUAUUAGCAUCUAUAUAAUCCAAAAGAGAAGACAUAAAACACCUUNNNN
rnacentral:lncRNA from 1 species